rnacentral:rRNA from 1 species
UACAUGGGGUGCAAACGUUGCUCGGAAUUAUUGGGCGUAAAGCGCGCGUAGGCGGUUACUCAAGUCGGAUGUGAAAGCCCUCGGCUUAACUGAGGAAGUGCACCCGAAACUGAGUAGCUAGAGUACUAAAGAGGGUCGCGGAAUUCCCGGUGUAGAGGUGAAAUUCGUAGAUAUCGGGAGGAACACUGGUGGCGAAGGCGGCGACCUGGGUAGAUACUGACGCUGAGGCGCGAAAGCGUGGGGAGCAAACAGG